AUUGAACGCUGGCGGCAUGCCUUACACAUGCAAGUCGAACGGUAACAGGUCUUCGGAUGCUGACGAGUGGCGAACGGGUGAGUAAUACAUCGGAACGUGCCUAGUAGUGGGGGAUAACUACUCGAAAGAGUGGCUAAUACCGCAUGAGAUCUACGGAUGAAAGCAGGGGAUCGCAAGACCUUGUGCUACUAGAGCGGCCGAUGGCAGAUUAGGUGGUUGGUGGGAUAAAAGCUUACCAAGCCGACGAUCUGUAGCUGGUCUGAGAGGACGAUCAGCCACAGUGGGACUGAGACACGGCCCAGACUCGUACGGGAGGCAGCAGUGGGGAAUUUUGGACAAUGGGCGCAAGCCUGAUCCAGCAAUGCCGCGUGCAGGAUGAAGGCUUUGGGGUUGUAAACUGCUUUUGUACGGAACGAAAAGCCCCGGGUUAAUACCCUGGGGUCAUGACGGUACCGUAAGAAUAAGCACCGGCUAACUACGUGCCAGCCGCCGCCGUAA
rnacentral:rRNA from 1 species